CUUAUAGCUCAAUGGAUAGAGUAUUUGAUUCCGAUUCAAAGGGUUGCAGGUUCGAUUCCUGUUAAG
rnacentral:tRNA from 1 species